rnacentral:misc_RNA from 1 species
GAAGGUGCUCCGAGCCUCCGUGCACAGGUUCUCUGCUGUUUGGCGCAUCCACACCAAAUCUAAGACUCGGACGGAAAGGGAGAGGUCCACCCCGCCGCACACCCUUUCUCACUACUCGUUCUUCUGCUUAGGGCAGCAACGCCUCUUGUUGUGUUCAUGUGUCGCGCCACAUAGGCCGCACAGCGAACGUUGGGGCAUAUGGGGUUUUUCAAGCGUACCAUCUCGCUCGACUCCAUAGGCGUAGUCUACGAUGAGCUUCAUCCGCAGUCCCGCGAUGGGGCAGCGGCGCACGGCGCGGAGAGGGAGCAGUCAGAGCGGCGUGUCGUCAACCCGGUGCUGACUCCGUCGCUGAACGUGGCCCGCAUCGAUGACGUGUUAUCAGAGACAAGUACCACCGCUGAAACACGCACGUACUCCUCGUCGUACCCGGUCACCACGACGUCGGUGCGUAUGCAUCACUUGCGGGAAGCUUCAGGCGACUUCACCUUCACCGGGCAGCCGCGCGCGGUGGUGCACUUCCGCUCCUGCAUCACCGCAAACGACGCGCGCAGCCGAUUGCACGCCCGGGCUGGUCGCGGCGGCGAUGGCGAUGGCGACAACGCGGCAGAGGCGAUGCUGCCAGUGAAUACGGGCCCGUUCUCGGCAGACAUUGUGUGCAUCAUACUGCUCUACGUAGACACGGGCACGCACGCAGACAUUGUUCAGCUCGGCAGCGUGUGCCGCUUCUGGCGCUUUUAUGCGAACUUGGCACCGCAUUGGACGUAUUUCCGCUGCAGGGAAUGGAGGAAGCAGGCGAACCUACCGCACUACGUGCGCCGCAUCGUCGCGAAGACAAAGGUCGUGACGCGUGACGAGUACAUUCGAGAGCGCAUGAAGGUCGAGGACUACAAGAAGAAAGAGUACAUCAUCGGCACAGCGAGGCACAUUCGGUGGUGUGUCGCGACAGGGAUUAUGGUGGGGGUGAUGCUCACGGCAAACUUUGUCGUCGCCUACUUCUUGGGGUUUCUCCGCACGGCGCUCAGCUCCGACUUGAGCCUCGGCAUCACGACCUUCGUGCUGCUCAUUGUUGCAACGCUUCUGGAGAUAACCCUUGUCAUCUUUCCGCUGGCUGGCAGCUCCGUCUCGAGCACGAACAAGCACAGUACCAUGCGCAUCCUCGCGUGGUGUGUGUUCAUGCUCGUGUGCAGCAUGGUCCUGGGCACCAUCUCGGCCCUCGCUUUCACCCGCGUCCGGGCUUCCAGGCACGUGCUGGAUGGGCCGACCAUCGACCUCACGAUGUCGGCACCAUGCGAGGCGUACUCGAGCAAGAACCUGCCGAGCUUCGUGCUGGUGCCGGCGGAGCUGAGCGACCUGCGGUGGCGGCCCAUCACCCUCGACGAAAGCGAAAAGCAACUGAUACCAUAUUGUGUGCCGAAAAGCGACGAGGGCUACGACGCAGCGCCCACAUGCUUUGUUCUCAUGUACUUCGAUGCAUACUACUCCUCGGCGGUUUUCCAGAAUGAGUCGGCGCUCCUGACGGGCAGGGACGUUGGCACUCGCUACGCCACAUCGUUCGAUCCUUUCUCCGACAGCGUGCAGAUUAGUGGGCUGUGGUGCAACAAGUCAGGCCACCCGCAGGUGGUGGCGCUGACGCAGGCCGUGUACUCGAGCGUCAAGGCGAGGCGCGAUCGGCUCUACCCCACCACCGCAGAUUGGCUCGACCCGUCCAAGCGGCCGGCGACCUUCUCCACCAUUAGCAUGCGCUGCAGCUCAGCCAUUCAUCGCGAAACGACGGAGAAUCCGCCCAAGUCGACCGAGUUGUGGUACGGCAAUGCAGCGGCGUGGAAGUGGUACUAUGUGCCACUGGUGACGACGUACGCACAGGUGCGAAGCACCUUCCAGCGGAUGCACGACCACUUCCUCCGCUACGCCUUCCUGUGCCACAUCUUUGCCGGUGUUAUGUGGGUCAUGAUGCUAUUCGCACAGAUCAUCUUCAAGACGGCAUCGAACAUGAUCUUGGGCGUGGCGACGACAGCAGCGCUGGUGUGUCUGAACCCGCUAACGAUGAUCCUCUCCGGCGCCCUCUGCGUGAAGGUGAGCGACUCCUACUUCAUGUGUGACGCCGGCUCUGGCGGUGCCCUCAUCGGCGGUGGUGUCGGACUAACAUUUCUGGUGCUGACCAUCUACGUAACGGCGAGGGAGUGAGGCCGACUCCCCAGCCAGCGCGCUCACCCUUAGCGUGCUGCUCACUCGCACUUCGCCGAACCCGAUAGUGGCGUGUGAUGCGUCGGGCCGGUGUACCUCGCUCUAUAGCACACGCGCCCGCAAGAGUGGAAAUAAUGAAGGCGUGGCUGUGUAGGAAUUGCAGAGCUAGGUCGCCCUCUUCCCUUCCGUCCCGUCGACUUUCUUGUGGUGGCACGCCUCUUUGAUGCUGUGAGGACCGCUCCCACUGUCCUCGGUGAUCCCUCCCUGUUCUAGGCGGGCCGCUUCCCUACCUUGCGCUGCGAUGAGCAUCUUCCAUGGCCCCGAGAAUCGCCGCGCACGCUACCUCCGUGAGGGAUGGGGUGGCGCCGCUACGGAGAAGCGCUUGCGUAUUCUUUCACGUUUUUCUCGCAUGCAGCUUACCUGUGCCACGACUAUGUAUAUGUGCUCGUGCAUUCGCUUGAGCCCACCCUCCCGCUGAUGGCAGGAGAGCACACAUACACACACCCCAGCGCGUGGUGUCUCAGGGCCUCGUGCACCCACACAACCCGCCACUCUCUCUCUGUUAGGGAGGCCAAACAGCCCCCCCUCUUCUACCUCUGCCAAUGCAGAACCCACCUCUGGCGGUGCGUCGGGACGAGGCUCGACAGUGAGCACGUCUGCGCCAUCCAUACGAUGGGCAACACGUGUCAGGGUGACUCGAGCGUAUGCCUCACACGGCCUCACACGGCCCACUGAUGUGUGGGGAGGAGCCUGCGUGCCACCCCGAGGGAGGGGGGAGGGGGGAUGCACCAGGCGUGGCGACCGGCAUGGUUGGGGGGCGGCUGUGUGGGGUGGGGGAGUAGAGCUUGAGACAGGGUCGGUCAUGGGGCGUGGUGUGGCGCUCAGCGCGUGCUGCGCCGCAGAGAAAUAAACAUGCGCGCACACACACACGUUGAAGAGAAACGAAAAUGCUAUCACGCUCAGCUGCGUCCUCCCUCUCCCGCAGUUGCGUUUUAGUGAUGCGUCGCGUCUUCCUUGGGUGCUGAUCACCUCCGUUACUGAUACACAAGACACACACAC